rnacentral:rRNA from 4 species
UAGUUAAGCUUUGGGCGAGAGUAGUACUAGGAUGGGUGACCCCCUGGGAAGUCCUCGUGUUGCACCCC